GUUUCAGCUGGUUGCAUUUUUUACAAAACCGCACUCUUGGGUUUGUUGAAUCAGCUGGUGAAGCCCCAAAUUCAGAUGUGGUUAAUGGAUCAGUGUCACUUCUUUCUUCAUCCAAGUCUGGCUUCCAAUUUGGAGGUACACUACCAGGAUCCGUAAAAACGACAGAAAAGUAACUCCACAAAAGCAUCACCAACAAACAAUGGAACAAGACAAGUACGGCAAGCGCGAUGAGGGCAUCCAAGAUUCCAGAGCCACUGACGAGGGAGGGACCAUAGCUGGUCAAGACGACAGCGUAAUAUGUAACACCGACAACGCCUAGGACCAACAAGAUCAUAAUUGAUCCCAGUCCUCUUAGGGCCGUACAGAAUCUGAAUACGUUCCAAGCCAUCACUGUUCCAGAUCUAUACAUAUUAAAAUCUCUCCAAAAAAAAAAUCACAAGAAAAAAAAAAGAAUUGUACAAAUUAAGAAUCAAAGGGAUUUGAUUUUUUUUUGUUCUUGAGUGUGUUUAUUUGAUUAAAUUUGGUUUUUAUUUCUUUAAAAUUUCUUAUUUUUUUCGAGUUUAUGGAUUCCGAG
rnacentral:misc_RNA from 1 species